rnacentral:rRNA from 1 species
AAGUCUGACCUGCCCACUGAAAUUAUUUAAAUGGCCGCAGUAUUCUAACUGUGCAAAGGUAGCAUAAUCAUUAGUCUUUUAAUUGAAGGCUGGUAUGAACGGUUGGACGAGGUAUAAGCUGUUUCAUAUAAAUUUAUAAUAGAAUUUUAUAUUUUAGUCAAAAAGCUAAAAUUUAAUUAAAAGACGASAAGACCCUAUAAAUCUUUAUAUUUUAAGUUGUUUAAAUUUUUUAGAUUAAUUUUAUUUUUAUAAUUUAGAGUAUUUUGUUGGGGUGAUAUUAAAAUUUAAUGAACUUUUAGUUGUUAAAAAUCAUUAAUUUAUGAAUUAUUGAUCCAUUAAUAGUGAUUAUAAGAUUAAGUUACUUUAGGGAUAACAGCGUAAUUUUUUUGGAGAGUUCAUAUCGAUAAAAAAGUUUCCGACCUCGAUGUUGGAUUAAGAUAUAUUUUUAGGUGUAGCCGCUUAAAU